GGUUUACGUGAUCGAGAUAAAAUUCUCAAGAGAUCGAUAAAAUAAAAUAUAAGAAAACAUUAUGGCGAUCAAAUUCUACUACUUAAUUUUAAUCCGUUGGUAAAAAAAAAUUUCAAUGGAAAAUCAAUCUCGUAAAAUAUUGUUAACUUGAAAUUAAGACAGAGACCACAAUGUAAUAGUAACCAAGGUGUCGAUAAUGAAUCUUAGCGUUAAUUAGUCCGAGGUGAGACGAUAGGUAGUUCGUCGUGGCAUACCGAUAUCUCUUUAGCAGUGCCGUGAGCAUACUGAAGGAAAGAAGGAAGGAAAGAGAAGAAAGAGAAGAAGAAGAAGAAGAGAGUAAAGCCUAACUGAAACGUCACGCCACUUGUUACUCGUUAGUGUGCACGAUGCCAUCUUUACAACGAGCACAGAGGACCCUGAGGCCGAGUUACUCCCUACGGUAGCCGGCAUCGAUAGCGACCAAGAGCGUGUAAUUAACAAUGUUUCUCGUCUUUAUCCAGGUGGCGUCUGGAUUCGAAUCGUCGAGACGACGACGACGACGACGACGACAACGACGAUGCUCUGUAGCUUGGUCCAAUCUCGAAGGUAUCUUUCGAGAGUCGACAGCGAGUGUGCUUCCAUUACGUUGGGCGGUGGUCCCUCGUUAUAUCCGGGACGGGCAACUCCGUAGCUGCACAUCUGAUAAUCCAAGGAUUUAUGGCGGCCCUGAUGGUUCAUUUAGCGCCGACAUGGUCGACAGGGGCGGCGUCGAAAUAUCUUCGCGUGCGUGGCCGUGCUAACGCGACUAUGCGGAAAUAUCUCGUUAAAAAUGGGUUAGCUCGUUCGUGGAUGUUAAACGUCCUCGUUUGAACGAGACCUUCUUCGACGGUGAGCAAUGAGGAAGGGGAAGGAUUUAGUACUGCACCACGAAUCGCAGAACGGAUGGAACUUUCACUCGAUGGAAUCAUCAAAUAGCACGCCUUCUUCUCUUUACCGGCGAGAAAUUGAAAGAGAAAAAUUGUUCGAAGUUGGUUUGCUGCUUUGGGGGAUGCUGCUUGGCAUCGGACGACGAGACAGAGAGUGAAAGAAUGAAGAUGAACGAAGAAGAAGAGAGGUAGACGAAGAAGAAGAGGAAGAAGGGAAGAGGAGAGAAGGUCGCAUGGAAAAAUGUCUAAUUUAUUGGCCAACCGUUGAAGAACUCGUACGGGCUCCCUACGUAUACAUACUCAGCGCGUGCUCGUUCCUUUUUGUUGUUAGAAAUACGCAGGUGAAACAGGCUUGGCUCUUUCUUGCGAAGGUUAAACACCUGCGACAAUGCUUCUCGACGCCCUGAACUUCGAUGUCGUGACCUUUUCUUCCUCCGGCCCACCGAUCCACGAUCCACACUAGUCGUCUGUCUAUGUAUGUAUCCUUUUAUAGGUGUGUCGAAACGAUGCCUUUCAUCGACUUGAUAUCGGAUACUUUGCUA